rnacentral:piRNA from 1 species
UGGUAGGCUCCUUUGGGCUUGAUUUCCCCU